GACGAACGCUGGCGGCGUGCUUAACACAUGCAAGUCGAACGGAAAGGCCACCUUCGGGUGGUACUCGAGUGGCGAACGGGUGAGUAACACGUGGGUAACCUGCCUUUGACUGGGGGACAACCGAGGGAAACUUCGGCUAAUACCGCAUAACGUGCAUCGGCAUGAGUCGAUGUACCAAAGAUAGCUUCGGCUUUCGGUCAAAGAUGGGCCCGGGGCAGAUUAGCUUGUUGGUGGGAUAACGGCCUACCAAGGCUACGAUCUGUAGCUGGUCUGAGAGGACGAUCAGCCACACUGGAACUGAGACACGGUCCAGACUCCUACGGGAGGCAGAAGUGGGGAAUCUUGCGCAAUGGGCGAAAGCCUGACGCAGCAACGCCGCGUGAGGGAAGACGGCCUUAGGGUUGUAAACCUCUUUCAGUUGGGACGAAGCUUCCAUGGUGAAUAGCCAUGUGGAGUGACGGUACCUGCAGAAUAAGCACCGGCUAACUACGUGCCAGCAGCCGCCGUAAAAC
rnacentral:rRNA from 1 species